UCAUGGCAACAUGAAUGUGAUGACCGAGCACUGUUUACACCACACUGUGUUCAUCUGUGAUGAGUCAGACGUCACCACCUCAAACCUCUGGCUGUGUUUCAGGCCUCCGGCUCCUCAAAUGUUCCUGAUUCUCUUCCUUCAGUCUCUGUUGUUUCUUCACAGUCGGCCGUGGGUCAUGACUACCAGAGCAAGCUGUCCAAGCACUGCUCCCAGACGGACACGUCCAAGGGCUUCGGAGGGAAGUUUGGAGUGCAAGCGGACCGCGUGGACCAGUCAGCUGUUGGGUUCGAGUACGCCGGGAAGACGGAGAAACAUGCUUCUCAGAAAGACUACUCCACUGGGUUUGGGGGGCGAUAUGGUGUGCAGGCAGAUCGAGUCGACCAGAGCGCAGUGGGCUUCGAUUACCAGGGCAAGACCGAGAAACACGAUUCCCAGAAAGAUUACACAAAGGGCUUCGGCGGCAAGUUUGGCGUUGAGACCGACAAGGUGGACAAGAGCGCCGUGGGCUUUGAGUACCAGGGCAAAACGGAGAAGCACGAGUCCCAGAAAGGUUGGUGUCCUCACGAGAACAGGAGUGUGUGUGUGUGUGUGUGUGUGU